rfam:Schistosoma rodhaini strain Burundi genome assembly, scaffold: SROB_scaffold0001627
AUCCAGCUGACGAGUCCGAAAUAGGACAAAAUGCGCACCCUGGAU